rnacentral:rRNA from 1 species
UACGUAGGAGGCAAGCGUUGUCCGGAUUUACUGGGCGUAAAGCGCACGCAGGCGGUCUGUUAAGUCUGUCGUGAAAGCCCCGGGCUCAACCUGGGAAUGGCGAUGGAUACUGGCUCGCUAGAGUGCGGUAGAGGAGAGUGGAAUUCCCGGUGUAGCAGUGAAAUGCGUAGAGAUCCGGAGGAACACCAGUGGCGCAGGCGGCUCUCUGGGUCGACCCUGACGCUGAGGCGCGAAAGCGUGGGGAGCGAACGGG